rnacentral:rRNA from 2 species
UGGCGGCCUUAGCGCGGUGGUCCCACCUGACCCCAUGCCGAACUCAGAAGUGAAA